rnacentral:rRNA from 1 species
UACGGGGGGGGCAAGCGUUGUUCGGAAUUACUGGGCGUAAAGGGCGCGUAGGCGGCCUGCUAAGUCGGACGUGAAAUCCCUCGGCUCAACCGGGGAACUGCGUCCGAUACUGGCGAGGCUUGAAUCCGGGAGAGGGAUGUGGAAUUCCAGGUGUAGCGGUGAAAUGCGUAGAUAUCUGGAGGAACACCGGUGGCGAAGGCGGCAUCCUGGACCAACACUGACGCUGAGGAGCGAAAGCCAGGGGAGCAAACGGG